CAUCGAAUCUUUGAACGCACCUUGCGCUCCUUGGUAUUCCGAGGAGCAUGCCUGUUUGAGUGUCAUGAAUUUCAUCAACCCCUGGCGUUUCUGCGAACGCUCGGACGGCUUGGACUUAGGGGCUUUGCUGGCUUCGGUCGGCUCUCCUGGAAUGCAUUAGUGGGUCUUUUCGUCUCCCUGAGCGGUGUCUCGGUGUGAUAACUUCUUCACCUUGAGUAAGCCCGUCUCGUUGAAGGGGAGGCGAUGUGAUUCCUGCUUCGAACGGUCCCUUCGUCGGGACACUUUCACUUUGACAAUCUGACCUCAAAUCAGGUAGGAUUACCCGCUGAACUUAA
rnacentral:rRNA from 1 species